UGGAACCGUGUUUCAGGGAUUGCGGUCGGUGACGAUUACGUCUACUGGGUCACCUACUCGCCAGGUAGCCUCCGAAGGUUAUCCAAGUCCAGCAUGAAUCAGACUGUUAUGUUGGACGGCCUGGGUACUACACGGGGCAUCUACUUGUCCACGCCAUUUCCGCCUAACGUCACCAACGCGUGUUCCUCGUCCAAUGGAGGAUGCCAGGAGCUGUGCCUUGCGAAUCCGGGAGGGAGGGCGUGCGCCUGUCGGGAUUCCUGGGAACUGCAGGAAGAUGGACUGAGCUGUGAGUAUAGAAUAUCGUUUGGCUCGUCUUCAAAAUCAAAGUGACUAAUAAUCAGUGGUGUA